UUGGAAAGAGGUUAAAAUUCCCGUGCCGAUGUUUGGAAUCCUUAGUUACCUCAGUUAUCUUCAGCUGAGAGCUCUCACUGAGAGAGUAAGGAGAUAAGGUGGUACAAAUCUGAUGAAGAAGGCUGGUGUUUAUGUCAAACCAUGAUCAGGCUGACAAUGUGUGGCCUUGCUCAGCAGCAGCAGAACAAAGCUCUGCAUUCUGGCUGCUUGUCUCACUGGAGGCAGGCAGGUGGUGAUGUCCUGUCACCAUGCCGACACACAGUCCUCAGGGGGCUCU